UCUUGGUCCAUUUAGAGGAAGUAAAAGUCGUAACAAGGUCUCCGUAGGUGAACCUGCGGAGGGAUCAUUACAGAGUUCAUGCCCUUGCGGGUAGAUCUCCCACCCUGUGUUAUUAUUACCUUUGUUGCUUUGGCGGGCCGCCCGGCUUCGGCCAGGCUACCGGCUCCGGCUGGUAAGCGCCCGCCAGAGGACCCAAAACCCUGAAUGUUAGUGUCGUCUGAGUACUAUAUAAUAGUUAAAACUUUCAACAACGGAUCUCUUGGUUCUGGCAUCGAUGAAGAACGCAGCGAAAUGCGAUAAGUAAUGUGAAUUGCAGAAUUCAGUGAAUCAUCGAAUCUUUGAACGCACAUUGCGCCCCUUGGUAUUCCGAGGGGCAUGCCUGUUCGAGCGUCAUUACAACCCUCAAGCAAUGCUUGGUAUUGGGCCCCGCCGCUCACCCGGCGGGCUCUAAAAUCAGUGGCGGUGCCGUCGGGCUCUGAGCGUAGUAAUUCUUCUCGCUAUAGGGUCCCGGUGGAUGCUGGCCAACAACCCCCAAUUUU
rnacentral:rRNA from 1 species